AAGCAAACCUGGCCAGCUGCCCGCCUGCCGUGUCUGUUUUCCUUCAAGGGCUGCCAGCUGCUUUUCUAUCGGUAGACAGUCAAAUAAGCCAUUGAUUGCAUCUUCGCCGUGUGGGGACAAUGUGAUUUAUGAGAUGCUGCUUGCAGUGCCGGUUGCCUUUGCAAGCGCGGUUGGAGGUGGCAGGAGGCGUGGGGCGAAGUCUGGGCUGAGCUGUUCCCAGAGCAGCAGCUGCUGGGAGCGCUGGGACCGUGUCCAGUCCCGGCAGCACCCUCCUUGCUCAAGGGCUGGCUGUUUGCUGCUGAGAGAGGCCACGACGGGAUGUGAAAAGCCCUACGUAAUUGUAAGAGCAGGAGUGUAGAGUCAUACCUGCUGUCAGGGGCUGCUGGAUUUCAGGGUGCGAAUGGACCCGGAAGGAUCUCCGCGGUGUCCUCCGGCCGCCCGUGACCCAGCGGGCGAUCGAUUUCCUUCACAGUUGGAUAUUGUCUCUGGAUACUGGAGCAAAAGCCCAGAGAUCAAGAUAAGGGCGAGGGCCGGCUGCGGCACCAGGAUUACCAAGCCAAGAGCAUUUCAAGGAAAAGGGAGGUGGAUAUGAGGACUAACUAAACUCUUUCCAAUCGUUCUCUCUGCAUUGGUUGAGCGGAGUUCGGCAUUGCUGUCCCAGAUCGAUGAGCAUCAAAGGCGAGGGGGGAAGAGGAGAAAUCCACUCAUCUGGCGUGUCUCAGUCCACCCGCAAGGGGUGAGACACCCUUAAACUCUGCCUAAGGAAAAGCACACGCUUAGCUGAAGGGCCUCGAGCGCCUCUGCCCGCCCUGGGGCCGGGCACCGGGAGGGGAGGCGAUGCCGCAGCCGAGCUGGCAGAGGAAGCGGUGCUGAAGCCGGGGCCCGUGCGUGCACACCGCUGCUCGGGCACAGCCGUUGCAACAGCGCUUCCUCGCAGCGCUUCCCCCGGGGCUGGGGGGCCGGGUGCCUCUGCGGGAGCUCACGGGCUCACGGCACGGCCGAAGUGUCCGUUUGUGGCUUCGAGGAACGUUUGGGGACCAGAAGCCCCAGGGGAUGGGGAUCUCCCCCCGACGGGGGGUCCCUGCCCCGCCGUGGUCACGGCCCCGCUGCAGGGCACCCGGGCGCUCGGUGGCCCCGGGGACGAUCCACAGAUCCCGGGUGCGGGCGGCAGCGCUGCUUCCCCCACAGUCCGGGGGUUUAUCCUCUUAGCAGCAAAUGCCCUCUUAGCUCAACAGCACCGCUAAACACCAACCCGAGGCCGCUCCAGCUGUGCGGGUAAGCACGCGAAACAGCUGGGAGGAGAAGCCAUCCCUUGGUGAGCUCCUGGGCCGCUGCUCUCCGCUCCAGGCCUCCGUCUUUCCUCUCCGUUGGAUGCUCGUGCGGGCUCCGUUGGGUGCUCGCGCGGGUGGUCUGAUAGGGAUCUCCGGGGGAGGGCACUGCUGACAGCUUCGGGAGGCAACUGCCUUGCAAGCUGCAAUCAGAUAAACUGCUUUACAAGAACGAAAGCUGACAUUAAACGCAAGCUUUUAACUCA